rnacentral:rRNA from 1 species
GCCCGGUAGCUAAAUGCGGAAGAGAUAAGUGCUGAAAGCAUCUAAGCACGAAACUUGCCCCGAGAUGAGUUCUCCCUGAGACUUAGAGUCUCCUGAAGGAACGUUGAAGACGACGACGUUGAUAGGCCGGGUGUGUAAGCGCAGCGAUGCGUUGAGCUAACCGGUACUAAUGAACCGUGAGGCUUAACCUU